AAGAGAGAAGACUAAUCCCUACCAAGAUUGGAAGGAUAUAGAGAAGAUUAGGAGAUUAACAUCACCCCUGUGCAAAAAUGACACGCAAGUUCGUAAAGCGUUCUAUAUUUUU